AAAACAUUGCCUUACGACUUUAUAUGAAAGGUUCAUCCUGCCCAGUGAUUAUUUAUUAAACGGCUGCGGUACCCUGACCGUGCUAAGGUAGCGUGAUAAGUCGCCCUUUAAUUGUGGGCUGGUAUGAAAGGACAAACGAAAGCAACUCUGUCUCCUUAAAAUUCUUAUAAAUUGUCUUUUAGGUGAAGAGACCUAAAUAUAAUCAUAGGACAAGAAGACCCUAUAGAGCUUUAUUUUUAUUUUCUUAUAUUGUUUAUUUUUAUUAAUAUUAUAAUAUAUUUUUUUAAUAAAAUUUUACUGGGGCGGUAAAGGAAAUUAACUUCCAUUUUAUUAUCAAAGAUUUAUUUAUCAAUUUUAAUUGAUCCAUCUUAUGAUCAAAAAAAUAAGCUACCUUAGGGAUAACAGAUUAAUCCCUCUUGAGAGUUCUCAUUGACAGAGGGGUUUGACACCUCGAUGUUGGCUUAGGAUUCCCCAAGGGUCAGCAGCAGCCCUUAAAGGUAGGUUUGUUCAACCUUUAAAAUCCUACGUGAUCUGAGUUCANACCGGAGA
rnacentral:rRNA from 1 species